CCUGAUUACAGCACGUUUCAAAGCUUUACUUUGCUGAAAGCUGUACUAAGUAAAGGAAGAAGAAAAAAAAAGCACAGUAACUGUAUUUUUUGAGUAGAAAACAAAUGUAGCCUGCUUUUUGCAGUAGUAAGAUCGAUUAGGAGCUUUGUGAUUACUUGACUGUGACUCUAAAAAGAAUUUCAGCAUGUGUGCGGAACACAGAAGCCUGACCUUGACAGUGGUGCUGCUGCUUCUGUCUGGUGUUCUCUGCCAGUGGAAAGUGGUGUAUCCACAGCUAAGUAUCUGCGCAGUGAAAAACUCUUCUGUUGUCAUUCAAUGUUCAUUUUACUAUCCAGAAGACCAAGUAAUACGCGUCAUGUGGGGUCAUGUAAUGUAUCAUAUUUUUAAUGGUCCUUUCUUAUAUGACAGUGAGUUAGGGAAUAAGUCCUCAAGAUUUGAGUAUGUUGGAAACAAAAUAAGGAAUUGUUCUUUAAAAAUACACAGAGUAGAGUAUAAAGAUUCAGGUGAAUACGCCUUCAGAUUUGAAACUAGAACCAAAGGUGGCAAAUGGACUGGUAAAGAAGGCCCGAAAUUAGAGAUUGUCUAUCUAAGGGCUGUGGUGGCGAAAACUAAUGGAAAUAAAACAAUGAAGGAAGGCGACUCUGUGAAUCUGACCUGCAUAAACAGCUGUGAUGGUGGUAACUUCUCAUCUGCUUUCACCUGGUUUAAGAAUGGAGAACCCAUAAAUGAAGGACCUGUAUUUUAUUUAAGAAACAUUUCCUCCACAAACUCUGGAAACUACACUUGUUCCCUGACAACACACAAAGAAACAACUUCAGGAGUUAUAAAUAUUGAUGUUGAAUAUGGCCCCAAGAACACAUCAGGGUCUGUCAGACCAUCGACAGAAGUAGACGCUGGCAGCAACAUUACCCUCGCCUGCAGCAGCCAUGCAAACCCCUCAGUGGAGAAUUAUACUUGGUUUAAAAUAGUUGGUGAUGAUGAUAUUAAAAAAGUUGGAAACAAAACUGAACUGCACAUGAGGGAAGUUUUUCCUGGCCAGUACUUCUGCACUGCCACCAACAAACAUGGAAGUCAAAACUCUUCUACUGUGACUUUAAAGGUUAAAGUGUCUAUUCCCCACAGCACAUUUACCAGAGAUGCAUUUAUCGUUGCUGCUGUUACUGUGCUUGUGAUUGUGACCAUUGUUGUUGUCAUUAGAAGCCUGUGUGUUUCAGAUUCAACAAAAAAAGGACAAGAGCACCAGAGACUUAUUGUGAGGAGGAAAUACAGAGUGCAACCUACAUCAACUGGCCCAUGUCUGACAACAGCAAAUCGCAUGAGGGCAACAUGUGUGAAGAAACAACAAUAGGAGUCAUCUACGCAGCUGUUGACUUCAACACCAAGGGAAAGUCAAACAUGCAGCAGCAGCAGAUGGACUCAAAUUAUGAUGACGAAGGUGUGAUUUACAGCACAGUGUGCAGGGACCAAAUCUUGAAAACAUCGUAGUUUGAACUUCCCUAAGUAGACAACAAGAGCAUGUUGUUUGGCAGCAACAGGAGAAAGGAAAAAUGCAAAUGCAAAAAUGUCAACUUUUACAAAAACAGGAAAAACAGGAACAUUGUUGUCUAUUGACACUAAUUCUUCUUGAUCGAAAUGGGGGAAAGGACACUGUUAUAUGAGUCAAGUGGCUUUUAAGUGAAGGCGGUUUACUUGAGAUCAUCACUGAA